AUUUAAACUGGUUUCGCCCUCCUGUGGUGAUUUUUGUGAAUUACAAUCGAGUCUAAUGAUCUUAAACUGGUUUCGCCCUCGUGUGGUGAUUUUUCUCCACAGACUCAGUGGCUCAGAAGAUAAAACUUUGCAUUGUAAUCCGGGAGCUCGGAGUUCAAAUCCCACUACUGCUUACUUUACGUUGAUCUCAGACAACAAAGUCACUCAAACGCCAAAAAACAACGAGGAAUCCAUGAUGGAAUCGAGCAGCAUUUAGUAAAGCUGGACUGAAUCGUCCUCUGCGUCACUGAUGAGGAGGAUGUGAGUCUGUCUGGAGCUCUGGAUGAUCAUGAGGCUAUAGAUGGAGGAGUGAGACUCUGGCUUCUUCACACCUACAAAAUCAAACAUCACAACAUUUAAUAUACAGAUUAAACCAAAGUAAAAUUGGCUGGUGGAAAUAAUUCUCAGAUGGUUCGGAGAGCAUCCCCUCAUACAUAGAAGAUGUGGUUUGGAGAAUGGAUGGAUGGAUGGAUGGAUAACAGGCACAUGCAUAAGACCAGAAUCACCAGAUCAAUGUGUUAAUGUGUGUGUUAAUCUCCAUUAAUUCAUGGACAAUAAUUGAAACUGCAUUAAUUCGUUAAAAAGCAGGAGAAUGGGAAAAACUCAUAAAGGGAUAUCAUCCACUUUCCUGAUUUUAGCCCCAACCCUGAUUAAAAACAGUUGAAGCAGCAAAUCAAGGUCUUCAGGAUUAAUAAAAACUUUCAGGCUGAUGUGUUGGACUAGUGUCCAGUAACAAUAUAAAAGUUUAUUUGAAUCAACAUAUUGCUAUUUACAAGUUGUGUAUCUGUGAAACAGCAUUAUCAGUUUCAGUUUGAAAUUUGUUACGACCUCAGGCUCCAAAAGGCUGCAACAAAGAAAGGGACACAUGCAGAUAUCCAAAAUAACUCAAGAUUUAUUAGCAAAACAGAAAAUGAAACAAACGAGUGCUACUGGUAACGUCAGUAGAAUCAGUAAUGUAGAGGAAGGUGUAUGAAUGAUGUACUGUAGCCCAUGUGCAAAUGUAACAAAGGAAAAGAGUAAGAACAACAAAAUGAACCAAAAGAUGGAGCCACCUCAUGUUAGUAGAAUGUCUCCUUUUAAAUGACGGGACGAUAGGGAAGCCAGGGGUAGGUGAUGAAACCACUUAGGGAAUCAACCCUCUUCCAAAUACGGGGGGAGGGGGAGUUUGGGC
ensembl:lncRNA